AAUCAACGCUGGCGGCGUGCCUAACACAUGCAAGUCGCACGAGAAAGGGACUUCGGUCCUGAGUACAGUGGCGCACGGGUGAGUAACACGUGAAUCAUCUACCUUCGAGUGGGGAAUAACUGAGAGAAAUCUUAGCUAAUACCGCAUAAUACCUACGGGUCAAAGCAGCAAUGCGCUUGAAGAGGAGUUCGCGGCAGAUUAGUUAGUUGGCAGGGUAAGGCCUACCAAGACGAUGAUCUGUAUCCGGCCUGAGAGGGCGCACGGACACACUGGAACUGAAACACGGUCCAGACUCCUACGGGAGGCAGCAGUGGGGAAUUUUGCGCAAUGGGGGAAACCCUGACGCAGCAACGCCGCGUGGAGGAUGAAAUCCCUGGGAUGUAAACUCCUUUCGAUCGGGAAGAUAAUGACGGUACCGAGAGAAGAAGCCCCGGCUAACUUCGUG
rnacentral:rRNA from 1 species